CGAGGAUGAACGCUAGCGACAGGCUUAACACAUGCAAGUCGAGGGGCAGCAUAGAAGUAGCAAUACGUUGGUGGCGACCGGCGUACGGGUGAGUAACGCGUAUGCAACCUACCUAUCAGAGGGGAAUAACCCGGCGAAAGUCGGACUAAUACCGCAUAAAACAGGGGCACCGCAUGGUGAUAUUUGUUAAAGAAAUUCGCUGAUAGAUGGGCAUGCGUUCCAUUAGGUAGUUGGUGAGGUAACGGCUCACCAAGCCGACGAUGGAUAGGGGAACUGAGAGGUUGGUCCCCCACACUGGUACUGAGACACGGACCAGACUCCUACGGGAGGCAGCAGUGAGGAAUAUUGGUCAAUGGGCGGGAGCCUGAACCAGCCAAGUCCGCGUGAAGGAAGAAGGAUCUAUGGUUCGUAAACUUCUUUUGCAGGGGAAUAAAGUGCAGGACGUGUCCUGUUUUGUAUGUACCCUGAGAAUAAGGAUCGGCUAACUCCGUGCCAGCCGCGGC
rnacentral:rRNA from 1 species